UGGGGAAUUUUGCACAAUGGGGGAAACCCUGAUGCAGCGACGCCGCGUGAUUUAGAAGGCCUUCGGGUUGUAAAAAUCUUUUUUACGGGAUGAAAAUGACAGUACCGUAAGAAUAAGGUCCGGCUAAAUACGUGCCAGCAGCCGCGGUAAUACGUAUGGACCGAGCGUUGUCCGGAAUCAUUGGGCGUAAAGGGUACGUAGGCGGCCUAGUAAGUUAGAAGUGAAAUAAUAUAGCUCAACUAUAUAAAGCUUUUAAAACUGCUAGGCUUGAGAGAUGGAAGGGAAAGUGGAAUUCCUAGUGUAGCGGUGAAAUGCGCAGAUAUUAGGAAGAAUACCGGUGGCGAAGGCGACUUUCUGGUCAACAUCUGACGCUGAGGUACGAAAGCGUGGGUAGCAAACAGG
rnacentral:rRNA from 1 species